UACGUAGGGUGCGAGCGUUGUCCGGAAUUACUGGGCGUAAAGAGCUCGUAGGUGGUUUGUCGCGUUGUUCGUGAAAACUCACAGCUUAACUGUGGGCGUGCGGGCGAUACGGGCAGACUGGAGUACUGCAGGGGAGACUGGAAUUCCUGGUGUAGCGGUGAAAUGCGUAGAUAUCUGGAGGAACACCGGUGGCGAAGGCGGCAUUCUGGACCGGCAUUGACGCUGAGGCGCGAAAGCGUGGGGAGCGAACAGG
rnacentral:rRNA from 1 species